UACCACUUUUUUGCCCUUGGUCUGUUUCCCAUACACCAGUCUGCAGGUAGACGCAAAAUCAGCCAUGCACAUCUCUUCAAACUCUGGUGAUUCAGGUCUGGAUUUGUACUUGUCUGUUAAGGAUGUCAUCCACACAUUCAAGCUGUCUGGUGUUGUGUUGUCAAGGCUUGACACAGGCAGACUCAUUUUCACUGGGUUGUCAUCAGUUGGGACAAAAACCACACUGCGUGAACUCUUUUUCAUGUUCAGUGAAGUCACUCGGGCAACAGCUUCUUGUGCUGAUACUUCUCGCUUUUUGGAAUACGCCUGCAUGACCGCUUUCAUUUCAUCACAUUCAUUGACACAUUCUCUGUCGGAGUUCUGAAUGAGUGUUUGCAGGUACUGGCUCACAGAGUUCUCACUUUUACACAUGUACGUACAUAUGUAAUGGAUCAAACUGUAGUAGCUGAGAAUGAACUGCACAUCAAUGUUUGCAUCCCAAGCUUUGAGCAGGUGAGGGUUGUAGGUGUUUACCCAGCAGUCUUUAGGCUCACGCUUCAGAAUGAUGUUGCUGGACUGACUCAUCACAUUCAUGUGUUUCUCGUACUCAUCAGCGGUUAAGUCACAGACAGACAGGAGCUGUUGAAAACUCAGGGAUUCAGUUUGUGUCUCAUUCAGCAGCUGAUUCAGUGGUGCAAGUUUCUCUUUGGCUCUCUUAAGUCUCUCUGACUCCUCAUCAUCACCCACAGGUCUUGUUAUCAUUGUCUGUCUGGAGGGUGGUUUUGGGAAUCCAAAUCGGCAUCCAGAACUUGCACUUUUGAAACAUGUCUUUGAGUGGUUCUUACUGUGUAUUUGCACUUCUUUGACCUUUUUGUACAGUUCAGGCUGUUUGUUUGGGUCAGGGAGCUGAGCAGAGAUGUGUUUGGACACAAAGUCACACACAGUUUUGUCAGAGUCUCUCUCAAACACAGGUGCACCUUCUACCCACAAAAGACCAUGUAUAUGAGGACUUCCUCUGUGCUGAGACUCGAGACGCCAAAAGAAGUCAAAAACUUUGCCCAGGGGUUGUGCAGGAGACAUGAUCAGAUCUCUGUACAGUGCUUCAACACGCUUAUCAAACAUGCGCAUCGUUGUCACAGGAUUGCUUCUCAGAAUGUCACACUUUGUGGACCAGUCGAGCUCUUCAAAAUUCACCUCCUCACCUUGUUGUAAUUUUAUUGCAAUAAUCACCUCAGGCCAACGCAUUUCUGCUGCAGAAAAUGUGACAAAGAAAGUAGGACUGCCCAACUGUCUGAUCAUAGCAAACAGAUCUUUUGUAGUUUUGUCCCAGUAGGCUGGUGUUCCUCUGAGCGGCUGCAUAAAUCUGAUAGCAUCUCUGUUUCUCACCAGUCUCUUCACUUCAUAUUUGUCUCUCAACAUUCUGGAUGUUAUUUUACGUCCGUCUCUGGUCAAAGGUUUGCCUUUGCGUAACUGUAUGGACAUGCUGGAGGUAGCCAAGUGUAUUUCAGUCACAAACUGUGCAAAGAACAGGUAGUUGGUAUCUCUGGCAAAGCGAUCAUCAACACCAA